GCCGGGUGUGGUGGCGCACGCCUGCAAUCCCAGCUACUCAGGAGGCUGAAGCAUGAGGAUCGCUUGAACCCAGGAGGUGGAGGUUGCAGUGAGCCGAGAUCAUGCCACUGCCCUCCAGCCUGGGUGACAGAGUGAGACCCUGUCUCAA
rnacentral:SRP_RNA from 1 species